UCUCAGCGGUGAGGUGACGUGUUCUCCUGCUGUUGCUCCUGCUUGUGUUGCUGCUUCUGCUUCUGCUUCCUCCCACCCCCGUCACCGCCACCUGCCACAUUUCAGGCAUGAAGUUUGUGGUGUCGUAUGGGUGCAAGGAUCGAGAACGGCUAGGCAAGCUGGGUGGUGUCCGCAGCCAGCCUGAUAGUAUCCACACCACUCCCACAAAGGAGGCAGUGCAGCACAUCUCACGCAGGCUUUUGGAGGUCCAGUGGCACACUGCUUUCAUAAAAGUGUGUGCAGAGUGCAAGACAGAGACGGGCAAGGAUGGAGGACGCUUCAACAUUCACAGCAUCAUUGGUUCAUGUUUUCUUUUUUGUGGAAAGUAGUGUACACAGUUUUACCCGAAGGAUUACAUGUCAUCAUUCACAUUCAUAGAUUUAAUGACUUAACAUUGUGCAUCAGAUCACUUCAGUACAUGUUAGCGUAUAUUUAGCUACAAGGAGCAACGGUUUAUAAAAUUUGUAAUAUAUGAAAGUGACUUGUAACAGAUCUUGCAUUAUAAGAUUUGUUUUCAGGUCUUUGUUUAUUAGCAUGAUCUAGUUGUGUCAGUCUUAACAGUCCAGAUUGUACAGACAUGAACAGACAUGCACUUCCUGCCGAUGGAAUUUCAGUCAACACUGCAAGGUGUGUGUGUGUGUGUGUGUGUGUGUGCACAGCUUUGUGGGCAAGUGUGCCAGUCAUUCCUUGAUGUCAAUGGCUUUCAUUAAGGGGUAAAAUGUGUAUAAUUAGGUUUAUAUACAUUCAUGGGUGAGAAUAUUUAGACUGACUAAAUAGUAAGUUUCUCAACUUUCUAGAGCUUUGCUGUUACUGUUUUGUGCAAGAUUUCAGGGGCCGUAUUCUACAAACCAUCAUAGCUAAUGACGUGAUCGUAGCAAGACAAAAUGGUGCAUUUUAGACAAGUCCCUCUAUGACAGGCUCUAACCUUGUGAUUCGUCUUAAGUCCCAAGACAAGGUUCACCCUGUUGUAGCACCGCCAACCGCCGUCUUAAAACUCUUGUCAACAUGGUGGGAACUUGCCUGUAUGUACACCAUACCAUGACCUCUGACAGUUUUUUAUUAUUCAUUGAUGAUAAAUAUCCGUAAUUAUGACUAAAUAAUAUCUUUCUUUGAUGCAGUAAUUUUCCAUUAUAGAUAACUGCCGAGAUCAGUUUUCCCCAAACUCAAACAAACCUUGCCCCGCGUGGCCUGCAUGUGUCGUAAUCUUCUGUUUGUCAUGUUUCUUUUUUUUUUUUUUUGGAUACGCAAUCUAACAAGUAAUAUUAUGAUGUUAAAGAUAAUUUAAAUUGUAGAAGAUUAUGUCAAGGAGCUAUUUCUUUCUACACAAGUAAUGACAAGUAAUGAACUUAAAAACCAACAGUGGAGUGACGGUCAGGCAUUCAGUGAGACCUGAGGCUAACUGUGUAGAAUGCGGCCCCAGAAUGAUGGUCUGUUUUUUUAUUUAUGGUGACGAUAUUGUGUUGUUAGGGACAACAUGCUGUUUGAGAGCAAUGCCAUUGUGAUAUGCUUAAAAAAAUAUUUUACGGAGUCAAUUGCUCCUGCUAGACUUCUGCAAUGAAAAUUAUCUUAAAAUAUUUUUAGGACUUGUAGUUACCAAGACUUGUGCAAUGGAAGUGCUUUCAAAUUACUACUCUUAUAUUUACUUUUUGUUAUAUUAGACAAAUGUAUGGAUGACAGUGAUAGUGGAAUGAGGUAGACCUGUUCAUACGGUGACUGGUGCUUUGUACGUGCAAGCCUCAUGGUCCCUCUUGCAACUUCCCUCAUUUUUGUCACAUCUAAAAUUUCGUGAAUUGAAAAAUACUUUGAGUAAUGUAACACUUGAAGAAAUUGUUCCAAGUUGAAAACUGCAUAAAUAAGUUGAUAAUGUAGAAAUUGUGAUACUCCACUGUAAAAUUUAUAAAUUGUGAUACUCCACUGUAAAAAUUUAUAAGUCGAAAAUUUCGGUAGAGUUUUCUGAGGUUAACAAAUGUGUUGAUUGGAUAAAAAAGGAAGUA